rnacentral:rRNA from 1 species
UAUGAAGCCUAGCGAUUAUAAAGUUAGUGGCGGACGGGUGAGUAACGCGUGAAUAACCUGCCCUGUACCGGGGGACAACAGUUGGAAACGACUGCUAAUACCGCAUAAGCGCACAGCUUCGCAUGAAGCAGUGUGAAAAACUCCGGUGGUACAAGAUGGACCCGCGUCUGAUUAGCUGGUUGGUGAGGUAACGGCCUACCAAGUCGACGAUCAGUAGCCGGACUGAGAGGAUGAACGGCCACACUGGAACUGAGACACGGUCCAGACUCC